CUGCACAAGGUCUAUAUUAUGUGGAUUCCCUUCACUACCUCAGAUGUAGCUUUGCUUGCUUUUCAUUUUGCUGUUUUUUUACAUUUUGAGUGGAAAUGUGCUAAAUGUUCCAUAGACUAUACGAGCCUAUAUACAGAGAUCAAACCAGCAACCUUCUGCUAACCAGUUCACUACACCACAGUAAUAAAGUAGUGGUGCUCAUGGAGAGCAGCACACGAAUGUUUGGAGCAGACACAGCAGCAGUCAGAUUGUCCCGCACAUGUUCUCCUGCUCUUGUUCAAGAUUGUGUGUUUCAGGGGCGUCAUCAUGGUCUUCCUCAUCCUCUCUGUGCACUCAGGCAAUGAUAGACUCGAUGUCUGUUUCCCAACCAUGAUCAGAUUCAGUCUGACAGGAGCAAUGAGGGUUGAGAUGGACGGCAAAAACAGGUGAAGGUGGGGUCAGCUGCCUCAUCAGAAUAAAGCUGUGUUGAGAUGGCAGUAGAUGUGGGUUCACCGUCUGUAAAUACAUCAUUGUUAGAAUAAGUUUGAAUAAAGCUUUGUUUCAUGUGUCGUUGUUACGUCCACAACGUAAUGCAUUAUAGGUUGGUUUCGUUGUUGCUGUUCUCUCUUUCUGUUUUAGGAUUGGUCCUGGACAUGAUAGGAGUCUGCUGGUGGUUGGACCGGAGCAGAGACCUGGACUAUAAAUUCCCUGGCAAUCCACUGGAGGGGGAUCUCUGCUUUUAUUGAUUGCUCAUGUCUGUUUGUUGUGGUACUGUGCUAGCUGUUGAACAUGUGGUGCGACAGAGUGUUUUCUGUUUUAACCUAGUGUUUGUGAUAUCUUGUGACACUGUGUGAGCCUUACUUUUAGGACCUUGAUGUCUUGUUGACCAUGUCUGUAAACUAUUCAACUGUUUUGGGAAGCUGUAAGGGGUGAGUGCCGUGUUUCUUUUGUAGGCCGGUUGGCUGUUACUUUUCUCCUGUUUAUUGGGCAGAUAAGGGAACUGGAUUGUAUGUUUUGUUUCUUUUAUUUUGAUUCGUAGGGUAGGUAGAACAUUUGUGGGGAAGUUAGUUUGUUUGUUUAUUUUGGCAUUAGCUCACCCCUGAGAUUUUGCUUCUGGAUUCUGUGUAUUGCUUUUGUAUACAAUGAGAACGAAAAACAGGUACACUUGCUUUGAAAACGAACGAGAGCAAGGAAAGAAAAGAAAAAAAGAGAAAUUAAGUUAACGUGGUUGUUUCAUUUAUGUUACACUCUGACCUAGACCAGGGCUCGUAACACGUUGACUUAUUUAUUUUCAUGGUUACUUUUAUUCUUUUACUCAUUUAUUCAUGUUAACUGUUGUUGUCAGUAAAUAAAAUAUAAUUGUUUCAUUAACGUAUGCAU